AUUGAACGCUGGCGGCAUGCUCUACACAUGCAAGUCGAACGGCAGCGCGGGCUUCGGCCUGGCGGCGAGUGGCGAACGGGUGAGUAAUACAUCGGAACGUGCCCAGUAGUGGGGGAUAGCUCGGCGAAAGCCGGAUUAAUACCGCAUACGACCUGAGGGUGAAAGCGGGGGAUCUUCGGACCUCGCGCUAUUGGAGCGGCCGAUGGCAGAUUAGCUAGUUGGUGGGGGAAAGGCCUACCAAGGCGACGAUCUGUAGCUGGUCUGAGAGGACGACCAGCCACACUGGGACUGAGACACGGCCCAGACUCCUACGGGAGGCAGCAGUGGGGAAUUUUGGACAAUGGGCGAAAGCCUGAUCCAGCAAUGCCGCGUGUGUGAUGAAGGCCUUCGGGUUGUAAAGCACUUUUGGCGGGAACGAAAAGGACUGUGCCAAUACCACGGUUCGAUGACGGUACCCGCAGAAUAAGCACCGGCUAACUACGUGCCAGCCGCCGCCGUAA
rnacentral:rRNA from 1 species